rnacentral:lncRNA from 1 species
AAAAACAGGUCUUGGCCUAUGAGUGAAAAUUUGUGAUCAGGCAUGCAUGAAUCUUCACACAUUAAAACUCCUUCAUUUCCUUGGCCAAAGAUAAACAAUAAAUUAAUAGAAACUUUAUCUUCUCCAAAAAAAUAAAAAAGAAUAAAAAAGAACAUAUUCUGAAUACUCUAAUUCUUAAUUAAUUGCACAGCUUUUUAGCAACCUUUGGCACCACCUGUUCACAGAUCUCUGCAACAGAUGGGAGAAAUGAAGU